AUGAGUAAUUGUUGUAGAUGUCCAUCGAAAACCAGCCUGGGUCUCCUGGGAUACUUUAAACUUUUCAAUUUGGCUCUACUUGCGAAACAGUUAUGGCGCAUCCUUCAAAACCUAGAGUCACUUAGUGCAAGAAUUUUGAAGGCUGUAUAUUUUUCCUCUGGUACCAUUUUGAGGGCGGAACUAGGUAACCACCUAAGUCAGGUCUGGAGAUCAAUUUUGGAGGGACGAGAUACACUCAAACAGGGACUAAUCAGACGAAUAGGCAAUGGAGCAUCGACACAUAUGGGGAGGUAA
rnacentral:rRNA from 1 species